AACAAAAAGGUCACUUUUGAAGCUCCUCCGUCGAUUGCGGGCCGUACGUCGACGGCAGCCAGUCCGGCCUCCCCUCGCCGUCAACGCAAGGUGGAGUGGAGGACAUUCAGUUUCCCUCUGAUGUCCGAGAAGUCCCUCUUGGGUGCAGCGAUAUCCAAGUUAGUUACAGCCUCCAGUCAUCUGUAUAGUCUCAGUGUUUGUUCUGUUUUGUGCUGUCGUAUUUCUUAUGUGCAUCAGAGGAAAUGUUCUUUCUAGAGGCAUGUUGCAGCUGGCCGAGUCCCGGAUCUCAUUUCAUUCAUAUGGCCAUAGGCAGCGAUCAAUAAAUGGGCACUGGAGUUUAUCUUCUAACGCCACUGUUGUUUGAGGUCUCUGUCUGUAUUUUUGUUGCUUCUGUUGUAUGGUCACAAAGUUAGGCUUCAUCUGAUUUUAGUUAGUUAUAAGCCGAUCUCAUUAAGCUGAUAAAAAGAAUUCUAUAUGGAUCUCAUUAAGCUGAACUCAGCUGCGUAGCCUGACAGUGCUGUAGAUUUCGUGACUUUUCUAGCUGAAAAUAGCUUUGUGUAUGUGCAUGUCACUUCAAAUAAUUGUUGAAUUUCCGCCUAUGCCCGCUAUACAUGUACAGGAGAAGCAAUUGGCUUGGAAGUUCCGGUUCUCUCUGAUGUCCAAGAAGACAGCUCUUACGAAGUUCGUCAGCUCGGUGGACUAGAGUGAUAUCCAAGUAAAUUAAAGUAUCCUGUCUUCCCUAUAUAUCGGCGUCUCUUCUGUCUUGUACUGUCACAUUUCAUAUGCACAUCGGAGGAAAUGUGCGUUGGAGCAGACCGAGUUCCCAGACCUCAUUCAUAUUGCCAUAGGCAGUGAUCAAUAAGAGGGCACUGUAAUUUAUCUUCUAACGUCACUGUUGUUCUAGCUCUAACUUUAUUUUUGUUGCUUCUACUGUAUGGUUGCAAAGUUAGGCUUAAGACCGAAAAAUGUGCUAAUUUGUGAAUGUGUUAAUCCCGAAUAUUCAGCUAAUCCGUGUAUUAUUCUUUUGGGGGCUAUUUGGGCUAUUUUGGUCUCAGCAUGAGGACUGUGCUAAUCUGUGGAACAAAUAUGUUGUUGCGCUGCCUAAUUUGUUCUAAUUCUCAAAAUAUGCUCCUGUAAUCUCCAAUAAUAUUAUGUGCAAAAUCAAAAUGCCAGAGUUAUCAAUCCUGACAAGGGAAAA